GACGAACCGUGCGAACGUUAUUCGGAAUCACUGGGCUUAAAGGGCGCGUAGGCGGACCGCCAAGUCAGGGGUGAAAGCCUCCGGCUCAACCGGAGAAGAGCCUUUGAUACUGGCGGUCUAGAGGGAGGUAGGGGCCUGCGGAACUUCCGGUGGAGCGGUGAAAUGCGUAGAUAUCGGAAGGAACGCCGGUGGCGAAAGCGGCGGGCUGGACCUCUACUGACGCUGAGGCGCGAAAGCCAGGGGAGCAAACGGG
rnacentral:rRNA from 1 species